GCCGAGUUAUCCGAAAUAGAGGAAGGAGAUGGACUCGGACUCCCGAUUUUGUUACACGUCGCAGCCAACAUGGCUAAAGGAGUCGACCCCAAUCUCGGCUCCUCCUGGAACAAAAGAAGUUAAAAGCAGGAGGUGGGACAGAGAGACCAGAUGUCCCUGUGUGUGCAGGGCUGCCAAGUGAGGCUAGGGCAGUGGAGCCCGAGACACAAGAGCCCAAAUGGUGUGACAAAGGAGGAGCAGGAAGCCUGGCUCUGCCUGGAUGAACCUCAGAGAGCGCCAGUCCACAUCCACAUCCCAGACCCAACCCCUCGGCGCACGUCCCACAACCCCAUUGAACCACUAGAGCAGGGCCGUGGACCAUGUGCUGACUUUUUGCUGGAUCACACAACCAUAGACAUGAUCACAGGAGUGUAAACGCUGACAUAUGAUCACUAGUAGAGGACAAGUCUGUGGAGUUUAAGCACAAAGCUCAGACACAUGCACAGGCGCUGACCAAAAAGAUGCCACUGAGACCUCGAGAACAUUGCUGGUUCGAAUCUCACACCAUCAGAUGCCAAGAUCUCACAGCUUUUGAGUAACCUGGAUGUUCUCAGCAUUGUGCAAAAAUAAUGCUGAACAAAAACGCUGCAGGAUAAAGUUCGUUGGAUAGAAACAUUGACUCUACUUAAAGUCCAGCCUUGCAUUCAAAAAUCCAUGUGCAUUUCCCUUCUGGAAAAAUCGAAUCGAAGAAGAAGUAAAAAUGAGAGAAUUGUGGAACGGAGAUACGAAGGAGGGGCUUGCUAAAAGAAGUCAGGACAGUCUCACCAUGCAAUUUAAUCACUGUAUACCCAGGCAAGUAUUGACAGUUGUCCUGUGGAAGCUAUUAAAGUUGCUGUCCAAGGUUAAAUGAAAUUGCAGUUUAUCAGGGGAGCAUUGAGAAAAUAAGGGAAUCUGCUGGAGCCGGCUGAUUAAUGUGGAGCAUGAUCAACACAAGGGGGUUCAUUAAACCAUACAUCACUAGGGUAAUUUAACAUGUCAUCGUGCCUGCUGUCUCCCCCUGCAACACGUGUAUUUAUGUGUGCGUGGGGGUGUGAGAUUGUGUGUGUACAUCAAAGAAUCAGUGUCGGUUUGGGUGUUGGCUGAUCUUAUAUUGUGAGAAAUGAUAUGCAGCAUUGUAUCGUGCUGAAAUGAAAUAACGGUAAUUGUUAAAAUGCUCCUUCCCACUUUUGGGGUCUGUAGGUGCAUGAUGGGUAAAAUAUGACAUGG